rnacentral:misc_RNA from 1 species
AAGUCGUAACAAGGUUUCCGUAGGUGAACCUGCGGAAGGAUCAUUAUUGAAAUAAACCUGAUGAGUUGCUGCUGGUUCUCUAGGGAGCAUGUGCACACUUGUCAUCUUUAUAUCUCCACCUGUGAACCUUUUGUAGACCCUGGAUAUCUCUCUGAAUGCCUGACAGAUUCAGGUUUGAGGAUUGAUUUUUUUCUUUCCUCGCGUUUCCAGGUCUAUGUUUUUCAUAUACCCCCAUGUAUGUUUAUAGAAUGUGAUAAACAGGCCUUUUGUGCCUAUAAAACUUAUACAACUUUCAGCAACGGAUCUCUUGGCUCUC